rnacentral:tRNA from 1 species
GCGGCUGUGGUGAAAUUGGUAUACACGCGGCGUUCAGGUCGCCGUGCCCUUACGGGCGUGGAGGUUCGAGUCCUCUCAGCCGCA